rnacentral:misc_RNA from 1 species
GAUGAAGAACGUAGCGAAAUGCGAUACGUAAUGUGAAUUGCAGAAUUCAGUGAAUCAUCGAGUCUUUGAACGCACAUUGCGCCCCCUGGUAUUCCGGGGGGCAUGCCUGUCUGAGCGUCAUUACAACCCUCAAGCUCAGCUUGGUGUUGGGCCCCGCCGCCCCGGCGGGCCCUAAAGUCAGUGGCGGUGCCGUCCGGCUCCGAGCGUAGUAAUUCUUCUCGCUCUGGAGGUCCGGUCGUGUGCUCGCCAGCAACCCCCAAUUUUUUUCAGGUUGACCUCGGAUCAGGUAGGGAUACCCGCUGAACUUAAGCAUAUCAAUAAGCGGAGGA